UACAUUGGAUAUUUACCCUGUAACCCUUACCGUUACAUCCUAGUCGUGUCCAGCGGGAGGGGCUAGCUAAGGAGGGCGGGGACAGGAAAUAUGUGGGUGGUAUGUAGUGAUUAAAGGGAGAGGCUGUGGCAGCAGCAUUGUGAGGUGAUUAAAGCAGGGAGAGAGAGGCUGUGGCAGCAGUAUUGUGAGGUGAUUAAAGCAGGGAGAGAGGCUGUGGCAGCAGCAUGGUGAGGUGAUUUAAGCAGGGAGAGAGAGGCUGUGGCAGCAGCAUGGUGAGGUGAUUAAAGCAGGGAGAGAGAGAGAGAGAGGCUGUGGCAGCAGCAUUGAGAGGUGAUUAAAGUAGGGAGAGAGAGGCUGUGGCAGCAGCAUUGAGAGGUGAUUAAAGCAGGGAGAGAGAGAGAGAGGCUGUGGCAGCAGCAUUGAGAGGUGAUUAAAGGAGAGAGAGAGAGAGAGGCUGUGGCAGCAGCAUUGAGAGGUGAUUAAAGCAGGGAGAGAGAGAGAGAGGCUGUGGCAGCAGCAUUGAGAGGUGAUUAAAGCAGGGAGAGAGAGAGAGAGGCUGUGGCAGCAGCAUUGAGAGGUGAUUAAAGUAGGGAGAGAGAGGCUGUGGCAGCAGCAUUGUGAGGUGAUUAAAGCAGGGAGAGAGAGGCUGUGGCAGCAGCAUUGAGAGGUGAUUAAAGUAGGGAGAGAGAGGCUGUGGCAGCAGCAUUGAGAGGUGAUUAAAGCAGGGAGAGAGAGAGGCUGUGGCAGCAGCAUUGAGAGGUUAUUAAAGUAGGGAGAGAGAGGCUGUGGCAGCAGCAUUGAGAGGUGAUUAAAGCAGGGAGAGAGAGGCUGUGGCAGCAGCAUUGAGAGGUGAUUAAAGUAGGGAGAGAAAGAGGCUGUG